rnacentral:rRNA from 1 species
UACGAAGGGGGCUAGCGUUGUUCGGAAUCACUGGGCGUAAAGGGCGCGUAGGCGGCCGAUCAAGUCGGGGGGGAAAGCCUGUGGCUCAACCACAGAAUUGCCUUCGAUACUGUUUGGCUUGAGACCGGAAGAGGUUAGUGGAACUGCGAGUGUAGAGGUUAAAUUCCUAGAUAUUCGCAAGAACACCAGUGGCGAAGGCGGCUGACUGGUCCGGUUCUGACGCUGAUGCGCGAAAGCGUGGGUAGCAAACAGG